AUUGAACGCUGGCGGCAGGCUUAACACAUGCAAGUCGAACGGUAACAGGUCUUCGGAUGCUGACGAGUGGCGAACGGGUGAGUAAUACAUCGGAACGUGCCCGAGAGUGGGGGAUAACGAGGCGAAAGCUUUGCUAAUACCGCAUACGAUCUCAGGAUGAAAGCAGGGGACCGCAAGGCCUUGCGCUCACGGAGCGGCCGAUGGCCGAUUAGGUAGUUGGUGGGAUAAAAGCUUACCAAGCCGACGAUCUGUAGCUGGUCUGAGAGGACGACCAGCCACACUGGGACUGAGACACGGCCCAGACUCCUACGGGAGGCAGCAGUGGGGAAUUUUGGACAAUGGGCGCAAGCCUGAUCCAGCCAUGCCGCGUGCAGGAUGAAGGCCUUCGGGUUGUAAACUGCUUUUGUACGGAACGAAAAGACUCUGGUUAAUACCUGGGGUCCAUGACGGUACCGUAAGAAUAAGCACCGGCUAACUACGUGCCAGCCGCCGCCGUAAGAC
rnacentral:rRNA from 1 species